AAAAAAGGUAAGCUACUAAGAGCGAAUGGUGGAUGCCUUGACUGGUAAAGGCGAUGAAGGACGUACUAGACUGCGAUAAGCUACGGGGAGCUGUCAAGAAGCUUUGAUCCGUAGAUUUCCGAAUGGGGCAACCCAAUGUAUAGAGAUAUACAUUACCUAUAUAGGAGCGAACGAGGGGAAUUGAAACAUCUUAGUACCCUCAGGAAAAGAAAUCAAUAGAGAUUGCGUCAGUAGCGGCGAGCGAAAGCGCAAGAGGGCAAACCCAGUGCUUGCACUGGGGGUUGUAGGACUGCAAUAUGCAAGAGGUAAGUUUAGCAGAACAUUCUGGAAAGUAUAACCAUAGAGGGUGAUAGUCCCGUAUGCGAAAAACAAACCUUAGCUAGCAGUAUCCUGAGUAGGGCGGGACACGAGGAAUCCUGUCUGAAUCCGGGUCGACCACGAUCCAACCCUAAAUACUAAUACCAGAUCGAUAGUGCACAAGUACCGUGAGGGAAAGGUGAAAAGAACUGAGGUGAUCAGAGUGAAAUAGAACCUGAAACCAUUUGCUUACAAUCAUUCAGAGCCCUAUGUAGCAAUACAGGGUGAUGGACUGCCUUUUGCAUAAUGAGCCUGCGAGUUGUGGUGUCUGGCAAGGUUAAGCAAACGCGAAGCCGUAGCGAAAGCGAGUCUGAAUAGGGCGCUUAGUCAGAUGCUGCAGACCCGAAACGAAGUGAUCUAUCCAUGAGCAAGUUGAAGCUAGUGUAAGAACUAGUGGAGGACUGAACCCAUAGGCGUUGAAAAGCCCCGGGAUGACUUGUGGAUAGGGGUGAAAGGCCAAUCAAACUUCGUGAUAGCUGGUUCUCUCCGAAAUAUAUUUAGGUAUAGCGUUGUGUCGUAAUAUAAGGGGGUAGAGCACUGAAUGGGCUAGGGCAUACACCAAUGUACCAAACCCUAUCAAACUCCGAAUACCUUAUAUGUAAUCACAGCAGUCAGGCGGCGAGUGAUAAAAUCCGUCGUCAAGAGGGAAACAACCCAGACUACCAGCUAAGGUCCCUAAGUCUUACUUAAGUGGAAAACGAUGUGAAGUUACUUAAACAACCAGGAGGUUGGCUUAGAAGCAGCCAUCCUUUAAA
rnacentral:rRNA from 1 species